UAUUGCACAAUGGGCGCAAGCCUGAUGCAGCGACGCCGCGUGAGGGAUGACGGCCUUCGGGUUGUAAACCUCUUUCAGUAGGGAAGAAGCGAAAGUGACGGUACCUGCAGAAGAAGCGCCGGCUAACUACGUGCCAGCAGCCGCGGUAAUACGUAGGGCGCAAGCGUUAUCCGGAAUUAUUGGGCGUAAAGAGCUCGUAGGCGGUUUGUCGCGUCUGCCGUGAAAGUCCGGGGCUCAACUCCGGAUCUGCGGUGGGUACGGGCAGACUAGAGUGAUGUAGGGGAGACUGGAAUUCCUGGUGUAGCGGUGAAAUGCGCAGAUAUCAGGAGGAACACCGAUGGCGAAGGCAGGUCUCUGGGCAUUAACUGACGCUGAGGAGCGAAAGCAUGGGGAGCGAACAGGAUUAGAUACCCUGGUAGUCCAUGCCGUAAACGUUGGGCACUAGGUGUGGGGGACAUUCCACGUUUUCCGCGCCGUAGCUAACGCAUUAAGUGCCCCGCCUGGGGAGUACGGCCGCAAGGCUAAAACUCAAAGGAAUUGACGGGGGCCCGCACAAGCGGCGGAGCAUGCGGAUUAAUUCGAUGCAACGCGAAGAACCUUACCAAGGCUUGACAUGAACCGGUAACGCCUGGAGACAGGUGCCCCGCUUGCGGUCGGUUUACAGGUGGUGCAUGGUUGUCGUCAGCUCGUGUCGUGAGAUGUUGGGUUAAGUCCCGCAACGAGCGCAACCCUCGUUCUAUGUUGCCAGCACGUGAUGGUGGGGACUCAUAGGAGACUGCCGGGGUCAACUCGGAGGAAGGUGGGGACGACGUCAAAUCAUCAUGCCCCUUAUGUCUUGGGCUUCACGCAUGCUACAAUGGCCGGUACAAAGGGUUGCGAUACUGUGAGGUGGAGCUAAUCCCAAAAAGCCGGUCUCAGUUCGGAUUGGGGUCUGCAACUCGACCCCAUGAAGUCGGAGUCGCUAGUAAUCGCAGAUCAGCAACGCUGCGGUGAAUACGUUCCCGGGCCUUGUACACACCGCCCGUCAAGUCACGAAAGUUGGUAACACCCGAAGCCGGUGGCCUAACCCCUUGUGGGAGGGAGCUGUCGAAGGUGGGACUGGCGAUUGGGACUAAGUCGUAACAAGGUAGCCGUACCGGAAGGUGCGGCUGGAUCACCUCCUUUCUAAGGA
rnacentral:rRNA from 1 species